rnacentral:rRNA from 1 species
AGAGCGAACGCUGGCGGCAGGCCUAACACAUGCAAGUCGAGCGCCCGUAGCAAUACGGGAGCGGCAGGCGGGAUAGUAACACGUGGGAACGCGCCCUUCGGUUCGGAAUAACUCAGGGAAACUUGAGCUAAUACCGAAUACGCCCUUACGGGGAAAGAUUUAUUGCCGAAGGAACGGCCCGCGUCCGAUUAGCUAGUUGGUGAGGUAAUGGCUCACCAAGGCUACGAUCGGUAGCUGGUCUGAGAGGAUGACCAGCAUCACUGGGACUGAGACACGGCCCAGACUCCUACGGGAGGCAGCAGUGGGGAAUAUUGGACAAUGGGCGAAAGCCUGAUCCAGCCAUGCCGCGUGGAUGAUGAAGGCCUUAGGGUUGUAAAGUCCUUUAACGGGGAAGAUAAUGACGGUACCGUAGAAUAAGCCCGGCUAACUUCGUGCCAGCAGCCGC